UAUCUCGAGCACAAAUCAAAGCAUAACUAAACAUUUUUCAUGAAGUCAAGACCUCUUCAAGAUGUCAAAGGAAUGAUAUAAAAGGCUUCGAUAGGACCUAAAACUUGUAAUUUCUUGACCCAGAAAUUUACUUUUCAUGAAAUUUUAAGACUGCACCUUAUAACAACAAACAUGUUGCAACAAGAUCCAUAUGGAACUCUCACAGGUCAGGUCAAUAAUAAUCACAUCACCAGUCAAGAAACCCUUGCACCUACAUCAGAAAACAAGCAAUGGUAAAAACAAUGAAACAACACUGCAACUUUGAAAAACCCAGUGCAAAAGUUGCCUUUUCAACGGAUAUCACCAGCAAUUGUCAUUGGUAAUAGGAGGAGGACAACUAGAAGAGGAACUGAAACAAAUCAGUUGAACAGAUGAACAAGUGAAAGAAAAAAGAAGCAACUCGACCAGUCUCCUGUGCAUCAUGCUGUGGGUCUCAUCCCUGAAUAAACCUCGGAAAAGCAACCUGUCACCUCAAUUUCAUCAAACAGAUUAAGAAUACAACACGACUGAAAAUCAAAACUGUGAGGCAAACUUUUAUUGUAGCCCCAAUUUUUAAAUCAACGCAUGAGGAAUUAAGGAAGAAACAGAUUAGCUGGUCUUUCAUCAGUUUGUCAGCGACAGAAUGGCUGCCAUUUUUACCUGGAUGCCAGUAGAUUCUCCACUUCACAAAGCAUUUGAUUGUGUGACAUGUUUUGAGGGAUUUCCAAGCAGGAAGAUGGAGCAUAAGUCCAAUUGUUACUUUUCAUUAAUUAGCACUUGAUUAUAAUGACAUUUACAGGCUGAAUGCAAGAUAGAUUACUAUGAGUGGAAUUUUAUUAAAAUUUCUCUCUCUCUUUCCAUGUCAUACAUGUUCAAAAUUGAGAAUCUUUAUUUCAUUUAUGUAAAUUAUUGGCAGUGGCACUUACAAAAAACUGAUGAAACAUACAUGAUUAUAUUGACUUCAUAAUUCAGCUAGCAUUUUGGAAUUGAACAAAGCUGAAUAAAUAUAACUUGGAGGUAAUUUGAACACCAGACACCCAGAUGAA